GGCUGGUUAGCUCAGUUGGUUAGAGUGUGGUGCUGGUAACACCAAGGUUGAGGGUUCAGUCCCUGUUCGGUCC
rnacentral:tRNA from 1 species